rnacentral:lncRNA from 1 species
GUCGGAAGCGGCCGUGAGCAACCAAUCCUGAGUCUCUUCUCCAUGGCGCGCGGGAGUUUUAAAAUCAGGAUUUUAUAGACAACUGCUGUUGUUUGCCAUAAGAAAUACAGCAUCCUGCUCUGGAAUUGUACCGUAACUGCUGAAGUUACUGCCGUCAGCACGUGCCAACCCACUGCUCUGGAGCACCGCCGCGCUCGGAGAGAGCGACCGUGGCUGCACCGAGGGAAAGCCCUUUCCCACUGAAGCAAAAGCGCCCCGGCGCCUGGAAGAGGGAAGACGGAGCCAGUGCAUCCGUGCUCACUUCCUCGUUCUGCGCCGAGCUCUCCGCACGUUUAGCUCUUCAGAAAGGACUUUGCGGUAUUAAAACCCAG